GACAGAGGAUGCAAGCGUUAUCCGGAAUGAUUGGGCGUAAAGCGUCUGUAGGUGGCUUUUUAAGUCUGCCGUCAAAUCCCAGGGCUUAACCCUGGACAGGCGGUGGAAACUACCAAGCUGGAGUACGGUAGGGGCAGAGGGGAAUUUCCGGUGGAGCGGUGAAAUGCGUAGAUAUCGGAAGGAACGCCGGUGGCGAAAGCGGCGUGCUGGACCUCUUCUGACGCUGAGGCGCGAAAGCUAGGGGAGCAAACGGG
rnacentral:rRNA from 1 species